rnacentral:rRNA from 1 species
UACGUAGGGGGCAAGCGUUGUCCGGAAUCAUUGGGCGUAAAGAGCGCGUAGGCGGCCCGGUAAGUCCGCUGUAAAAGUCCAGGGCUCAACCCUGGAAAGCCGGUGGAUACUGUCGGGCUAGAGUCCGGAAGAGGCGAGUGGAAUUCCUGGUGUAGCGGUGGAAUGCGCAGAUAUCAGGAGGAACACCGAUGGCGAAGGCAGCUCGCUGGGACGGUACUGACGCUGAGGCGCGAAAGCAUGGGGAGCGAACAGG